AACCAGCCAUUGUGAGUCCAGGAGCCAAACUUCAGGUCACACUUCUGCACAUCGAAUGGGAACCACCGUACAUCGAUGUAGCAGGUCUGAAAACGAAUAAUGCAAUCCUCCAGAGCCAAAGGAAUAUCAAGACGGAAACAGCAAAUUUUUGCGCAAGUCUUCCCCUCCUACUUGACCUAGGGAGGACCUAGUGUUCCGUAGUGGCAAUUCUUUAAUAGCCUUUCAGCAAAAUGAGCAAGAAUAAGACCUGUUUUGCUCUUGUAUGCCAGACAAAGUCAUGUAGAUGUACCACAUAGAGGCACAUUUCUUGUUUUGUUUUUUUCUUUAUGCCACAGCUGUUUAGCAAGAAUGUAAAUGUUCUGGAUGUUAUUU